GACGAACGCUGGCGGCGUGCUUAACACAUGCAAGUCGAACGGAAAGGCCCUGCUUUUGUGGGGUGCCCGAGUGGCGAACGGGUGAGUAACACGUGGGUAACCUGCCCUUGACUUUGGGAUAACUUCAGGAAACUGGGGCUAAUACCGGAUAGGAGCUCCUGCUGCAUGGUGGGGGUUGGAAAGUUUCGGCGGUUGGGGAUGGACUCGCGGCUUAUCAGCUUGUUGGUGGGGUAGUGGCUUACCAAGGCUUUGACGGGUAGCCGGCCUGAGAGGGUGACCGGCCACAUUGGGACUGAGAUACGGCCCAGACUCCUACGGGAGGCAGCAGUGGGGAAUAUUGCACAAUGGGCGGAAGCCUGAUGCAGCAACGCCGCGUGCGGGAUGACGGCCUUCGGGUUGUAAACCGCUUUCGCCUGUGACGAAGCGUGAGUGACGGUAAUGGGUAAAGAAGCACCGGCUAACUACGUG
rnacentral:rRNA from 1 species